CGGAACGAUACUAGCUUGCUAGUAGGCGUCGAGUGGCGGACGGGUGAGUAACGCGUAGGAAUCUACCUGAUAGUGGGGGAUAGCCCGAAGAAAUUCGGAUUAAUACCGCAUAAUCUAUUCGUAGUAAAGUGGGGGACUUUCGAGCCUCACGCUAUCAGAUGAGCCUGCGUAAGAUUAGCUAGUUGGUAGGGUAAAAGCCUACCAAGGCGACGAUCUUUAGCUGGUCUGAGAGGAUGAUCAGCCACAUCGGGACUGAGACACGGCCCGAACUCCUACGGGAGGCAGCAGUGGGGAAUAUUGGACAAUGGGGGCGACCCUGAUCCAGCAAUACCGCGUGUGUGAAGAAGGCCUGAGGGUUGUAAAGCACUUUCAAUUGUGAAGAAAAGCUAGUGGUUAAUAGCCAUUAGCCUUGACGUUAACUUUAGAAGAAGCACCGGCUAACUCCGUGCCAGCAGCCGCGGUAAUACGGAGGGUGCAAGCGUUAAUCGGAAUUACUGGGCGUAAAGCGUGCGUAGGCGGUUUAUUAAGUCAGAUGUGAAAGCCCCGGGCUUAACCUGGGAACUGCAUUUGAAACUGGUCAACUAGAGUUUUGGUAGAGGAAAGUGGAAUUUCUGGUGUAGCGGUGAAAUGCGUAGAUAUCAGAAGGAACAUCAAUGGCGAAGGCAACUUUCUGGACCAAUACUGACGCUGAGGUACGAAAGCGUGGGUAGCAAACAGGAUUAGAUACCCUGGUAGUCCACGCCGUAAACGAUGAUAACUAGCCGUUGGGGGGAUUUACCCUUAGUGGCGAAGCUAACGCGUUAAGUUAUCCGCUGGGGAGUACG
rnacentral:rRNA from 1 species